UCGGCUCAUCACAUCCUGGGGCUGAAGCCGGUCCCAAGGGUAUGGCUGUUCGCCAUUUAAAGUGGUACGCGAGCUGGGUUUAGAACGUCGUGAGACAGUUCGGUCCCUAUCUGCCGUGGACGUUGGAGAUUUGAGGAAAGCUGCUCCUAGUACGAGAGGACCGGAGUGGACGAACCUCUGGUGUUCGGGUUGUCACGCCAGUGGCAUUGCCCGGUAGCUAUGUUCGGACAGGAUAACCGCUGAAAGCAUCUAAGCGGGAAGCCCCUUCCAAGAUGAGAUCUCCCCGAGGCCUCGAGCCUCCUGAAGAGCCGUUCAAGACCAGGACGUUGAUAGGCCGGGUGUGUAAGCGCUGCGAGGCGUUGAGCUAACCGGUACUAAUUGCUCGUGCGGCUUGACUAUAUAACACCCAAG
rnacentral:rRNA from 1 species